rnacentral:rRNA from 1 species
UACGGAGGGUGCGAGCGUUAAUCGGAAUAACUGGGCGUAAAGGGUACGCAGGCGGGCUUUUAAGUGAGAUGUGAAAUCCCCGGGCUUAACCUGGGAAUAGCAUUUGAGACUGGGAAGCUAGAGUACUUUAGGGAGGGGGAGAAUUCCACGUGUAGCGGUGAAAUGCGUAGAGAUGUGGAGGAAUACCGAAGGCGAAGGCAGUCCCUUGGGAAUGUACUGACGCUCAUGUGCGAAAGCGUGGGGAGCAAACAGG